rnacentral:rRNA from 1 species
UACGAAGGGUGCAAACGUUGCUCGGAAUCAUUGGGCGUAAAGCGCACGUAGGCGGCCCAGCAAGUUGGAUGUGAAAUCCCUCGGCUCAACCGAGGACGUGCAUCCAAAACUGCUGGGCUUGAGUACUGAAGAGGAUCGCGGAAUUCCCGGUGUAGAGGUGAAAUUCGUAGAUAUCGGGAGGAACACCAGUGGCGAAGGCGGCGACCUGGUCCUUGACUGACGCUGAGGCGCGAAAGCGUGGGGAGCAAACAGGG